CCCCGGCCCGGCAGAGCGUCACGGCCCGCCCGGCACCGCGCUCGGCACCGCCCAUGGCAACGGCUGCCCGCCGACGGGACGCACGGCACUCCGGAAAGGUUCCCAAGGGAGGUUAAUCACGUUGCCAUGUGAGCUAUGAGCACAUGAGCCACUACAGAAAGCUGCAGUGCCUGAACAUCCAGGACAGCCAAUGCAACACAUGGGCACUGAACACCACCACGUCUUUUAAACUGAGAAAGGAGCGCCCCGGUUACUCGGGGUUCCGCCUGUCUGGGAAGUGCACGGGAGCACCGCUCGGAACAACAGGCGUCACGUUGCUGUGAGUAAACGCGUAUAGCGGUGAAGGAAUAGAUCCUAUGCAGGUGGGGUGGCGCUCCUGAUCCCCAUCCUACCGACAGACGUUUCAGCUCCCCCGGUGCGCCUCUUCCAGGUACCGCAAGGUGUGCCGAGGGGCCACCGAGCAGCGGGUCGGACCUUGCUGUCGCCGCAGUACUGGAGAGCAAAGCAGCAGGGCGCACGGAGAUCCCCAUCUCGGGGUUACGUGGGUGUUAGCCCGAAAGGAGCCUUCUGCACCAGUAGCAGCAAGGCUAAAAUAGUUUUGGUGCCCGGUUCUUUUGGUAUACAGAACUACACGUAAGCAGAUUUAUUUAAAGCCUUACUUCCGUACCUAUUUUAGGAUGUCUGUUAUUACAGUGGAGCCAGUUGCUUGUAAGUAGCAUGGAUACUGCUCUCUACAGUGUCCUCCUCCUCUUCCCACCGGAGUAUAGACUCUUUCUCCCUUAUUCACCAGUAGCUCAGCUAGAAUUUAAGUUGUGUUAGGCUGUAAUUGGGCAUUAAGAGGUAUUAAGGACUAUAUUUUUCUUCUGUACUUCACAUAGAACUCCCUGUUCUCAGAGCAGAUCUCUGCCAUGCCCAUGCCAGCUUCCAGUGCACCCCGAGAAAGGAAAACAGGUUUUUCUGCUUUAACCCUGGAGAGAGCUGGAGGCCCAUCACGUGUAUUACAACGCUCCAGUUCUAUUUAGCACAUUUUACAGUGCCCCAUUUUGCAGCGUAGCUGUGACAGCUGAUUAUUCCAUUUCCUUUUCGUUUGGAAACACAAGUUGAUCUACAUCCUCUCAAGAAGUUCCUCUUGGACCUGACUUUGCUCUGUGACACCAUUCCUGCCAAACAACAGUUCUCACUUCAGCCCAUUCUCUUCCUUUAUCAGCAAGAGGCUUGGCCCUGUUCUAGUACCUUCAUCCUCUUCUCUUUGUAAUCCCGUGCAAUUCCUACUCAGGCUCCCCCCUAGGUAAGCUACAGCCUCAUGGUUGCUGGGGG